rnacentral:piRNA from 1 species
ACACACACAAUUGUUUUGAGUUGCCUUA